UGUGUUUUAGGCCAUGUUGGCCAAUCAGAAGCCUGAAAAAGUUUCCAGUAGGCGGAGAUAACAGCGCAGGCUCCGACGUCACAAGCCAAAAACUUAGCUGUCUACAUGAUAACACUGCAACCGGAGCUUUUUAAAAUCUUCACCCUGGCAGGAGUUUUCAAAAUGUUCGGUUUCAGUGACCUGCUGCAGCGUCUGCGUGAGGACGAAUGGCCAAACCGCAUAGAAAAAGCUGCUGUUUUGAAAAUAACCGCGUUCGUGUGGACGGCCAAUGAGCGCGCGCGUUGAGCAUUCAAAUCACAUUUAAACUGAAGCGGAGGAGGUUACCAUGGUAACAGGGCGUCAACUCACUCAGCUGACAAGUAGCAAGAGGCUGUCUCUCUGCUGUUUUCACUGCUUUCAGGAGUGGUUUAGUGUCUUCAAAAAGACCGUUAGCAUCAGAGGCUAACAAUUAGAGGAGCGUCAGAAAAAAAGACCUAAAACAGGGGAAGUUACAAGAAAAUUUGUAAUGGGAGCUGCUGACAGAGAUACAGGAAACACAGGUGAUCUGAGAAAUCUUAUUAAAUAACUUUAUAUGAAUUUUUCACUAUACAUUUCAACUAUAUCAUCAUGCAUCUGUAAAACCUAAAAAUAUGAAUUCUGGUAUCUUAAGAUUUUUUGUAUAUUAUUAUUAUUAUUGCAUUUCACCU